GAGUUUGAUCCUGGCUCAGACGAACGCUGGCGGCGUGCCUAACACAUGCAAGUCGAGCGCGAAUGGAGCAAUCCUAGUAGAGCGGCGCACGGGUGCGUAACACGUGGGUAAUCUGCCUCAAAGACUGGAACAACCUGCCGAAAGGCUGGCUAAUACCGGAUAAGCCUACAGACUCUUCGGAGUCCGAAGGAAAAGGUGGCCUCUGUAUACAAGCUAUCACUUUGAGAUGAGCCCGCGGCCCAUCAGCUAGUUGGCGGGGUAACGGCCCACCAAGGCUACGACGGGUAGCUGGUCUGAGAGGACGAUCAGCCACACUGGAACUGAGACACGGUCCAGACUCCUACGGGAGGCAGCAGUGGGGAAUUUUGCACAAUGGGCGAAAGCCUGAUGCAGCAACGCCGCGUGUGUGAUGAAGGUCUUCGGAUUGUAAAGCACUUUCGACCGGGACGAACACCUGUUGGCCAAUAUCCAACAGCCUGACGGUACCGGGAGAAGAAGCACCGGCUAACUCUGUGCCAGCAGCCGCGGUAAUACAGAGGGUGCAAGCGUUGUUCGGAAUUAUUGGGCGUAAAGCGCGUGUAGGCGGCUUUGCAAGUCGGGUGUGAAAGCCCUCAGCUCAACUGAGGAAGUGCGCCCGAAACUGCAAGCUUGAGUACCGGAAGGAUGGCGGGAAUUCCCGAAAGA
rnacentral:rRNA from 1 species